GUUCCAGGUGGGCGCUCUUCUCCACGUUGUUCAGGUAGAAGCUGGUCUCCUUCUUGGCCUGAGAGACUUCGGCCCGGAGUCUCUGCUGCAGCACCGUCUGCUCAUAGGCCAGCCGCUCGCUCAGUUCCAGGCAGGGAACAAAGUGGGGAGCCAGGGAGGGAACCAGGUGGUACCUUGAUGUUCCAGAGGUCAGAGAAGAACCUCUGGCGUUUCUUGGUACCCAUCGGCGUGUUGUGCAGCGACAGCGCCACCCGCUUCGCCACCUGCUUGUCCCUGAACUCCACCCAACCUUCGGUGAAGUCGCACCUCCUGGAGCCGGACUUCUUCUUCUUCCUCCGCACCUGGCGGUCUGCGGGAUCAACGCAGCCAGUGUGUGUGUGUAGUGUGUGUAGGUGUGUGUAGUGUGUGUGUGUGUCGUACCCUCUGGCUGCAGGAAAAUGCGUCCGAUCUCUCCGUAGGCUGACAGCAGGUUCCUCAG